rnacentral:rRNA from 1 species
AGAGUUUGAUCCUGGCUCAGGACGAACGCUGGCGGCGUGCUUAACACAUGCAAGUCGAGCGAUGAAACACCUUCGGGUGUGAAUUAGCGGCGAACGGGUGAGGAACACGUGAAGAAUCUGCCUUCAACUCUGGGAUAACUCCGGGAAACCGGGGCUAAUACCGGAUAUGAGCCUCGAUCGCAUGAUUGGGGCUGGAAAGUUUUUCGGUUGAAGAUGACUUCGCGGCCUAUCAGCUUGUUGGUGAGGUAAUGGCUCACCAAGGCGACGACGGGUAGCCGGCCUGAGAGGGCGACCGGCCACACUGGGACUGAGACACGGCCCAGACUCCUACGGGAGGCAGCAGUGGGGAAUAUUGGGCAAUGGAGGAAACUCUGACCCAGCGACGCCGCGUGAGGGAUGAAGGCCUUCGGGUUGUAAACCUCUUUCAGUAGGGAAGAAGCGAAAGUGACGGUACCUACAGAAGAAGCACCGGCUAACUAUGUGCCAGCAGCCGCGGUAAUACAUAGGGUGCAAGCGUUGUCCGGAAUUAUUGGGCGUAAAGAGCUCGUAGGUGGUUCGAUACGUCGGAUGUGAAAAUCAGGGGCUCAACCCCUGACCUGCAUCCGAUACGGUCGAGCUAGAGUUUGGUAGGGGAGACUGGAAUUCCUGGUGUAGCGGUGGAAUGCGCAGAUAUCACGAGGAACACCGAUGGCGAAAGCAGGUCUCUGGGCCAAUACUGACACUGAGGAGCGAAAGCGUGGGGAGCGAACAGGAUUAGAUACCCUGGUAGUCCACGCCGUAAACGGUGGGCGCUAGUUGUGCGAACCUUCCACGGUUUGUGCGACGCAGCUAACGCAUUAAGCGCCCCGCCUGGGGAGUACGAUCGCAGAUUAAAACUCAAAGGAAUUGACGGGGCCCCGCACA